CUGUCACAGGAGGACGUGCAGCAGGAGCAGGGAUCCCAGGAUACCUCACAUGGAAGGGCAGUCACGUGGCAUGGAUCUGUCAGAACAGUUCACCAACAUCCAGAGGCCUCUCCAGGAAGGGCAGAUGAUACCGUGAGACCUGCAGAGUCCACGCCCGCCAUCCCCACUCUGCCACUACGCUUUCUCUCGCUGCAAAGCCAUUUGCAGAACAUGUACAAACCACGGAGCUAAGAACACAGAGCUAACAGGACUGUCCGUUUGGUGACAGAUUUUUAGGUAGUCCAUAGAAUUUCUACUUCUACAAAAACAGAAAACUACGUUUCAGAGGAUGUUUCCAAUUUAAGCAGAUUUAAAGAGAAGAAAAGGAAAGAUCUUAAAAUAGAACUUCAUUCAGCUUGCUGGAUAGGUUCUCUGUUCUGUGAAAAGUAUAUAAAUGAUACACAUAUUUGACUAGGUUGAAAUAGGUAAAAUAUGACAAAAAUUUGGUUAUAAUACUCAACCAACACUAGUAGCUUUAAGUCAAAGACAAGAAGCAAACAGUUACGUGGACAGGUUGUUGGUCCCCAGAGCCACAGCACUCCUGCACAGGCUCAUAUUAAUUAGCGCAAUAUUAAAUGCCCCCGAGUUAGGCAAAGAAGACCCUGGUGGACAUGGGCAAUGGGCAAGGAGCGAAGUUCCAGCAAGCACCAGCCUGGCCUGGGCCGGGUGCACGCCAAGGCACACCAAGCUGUAGUGCAGUCUCUGGCAGCCCCCACGGGUGUUCCUCAACUGCCCCUCCAUCUCUUCACCUGACACGCAUCUUUCCACACUUCCUUCAUGCCCUAGAAAUUAGUUAAGACACACUCCAAGUGAAUAAUUAGCAUGCCUAAUUUUAGCCAACAAAAUAUACUGAUUUUUCCUAAAGGAGUUUCUACACUGUGAUACCAAUUGUCCUGCCAGGAAUCUCUGAAGAAAUAACUUGGGCUGAUAAUUCUUCUGCCAAAAAAUGUAUCUUGUAAUGAAUACGAGGUCCAAUGUGUAAAUAUUAUUCUAUCACUUUUGUUCAUUUCCAAAAGCAUAUAAACGUAAGUCUACUGUACACUACUUACUUUCUCUGUAAAGCAAGGACCACAGAAUAAAUGACCUACAAAUUUCCAGCUUCUCUCUCACCUUUAAAUCUCAAUAUUUACACACAGUUUCUUAUAUACUUACCAACCACACUGCCCACAAUCCCAACACCUCCCCGCCUCCCA
rnacentral:lncRNA from 1 species